GUGGGAGCAGUUCUUCCACAGGAGAAGACAGUGGUGCCUCAAAUUGUUGCACCUGCUGAGGCCUCCAUUGACCAGAGAGCCUCCUCUGUCUCCCUGGAAAGGCCUUAUGUCAGAUCUGGGGG